rnacentral:snRNA from 1 species
ACAUUUUUUGUACUUUUUGUAACAAAAAAAUCAAAAAAAAAUCUGUUCUUAUCAGUUUAAUAUCUGAUACGUCCCCUAUCUGGGGAAUAUUUAUAUAAAAUGGAUUUUUGGAACAGGGAGAUGAAAGAAGAGCUUGCUCUGUCCACUCCACGCAUCGACCUGGUAUUGCAGUACCUCCAGGACCGGUGCACUUCUC